rnacentral:rRNA from 1 species
UACGUAGGGUGCGAGCGUUGUCCGGAAUUAUUGGGCGUAAAGAGCUUGUAGGCGGUUUGUCGCGUCUGCUGUGAAAAUCCGGGGCUCAACCCCGGACUUGCAGUGGGUACGGGCAGACUAGAGUGUGGUAGGGGAGAUUGGAAUUCCUGGUGUAGCGGUGGAAUGCGCAGAUAUCAGGAGGAACACCGAUGGCGAAGGCAGAUCUCUGGGCCGUAACUGACGCUGAGGAGCGAAAGCAUGGGGAGCGAACAGG